CCCGCCUCAGCCUCCUGAGCACUGGGAUUACAGACAGGAUCCCGCUAAGUUGCUUGGGCUGAUGUCAACUUCGGGAUUCUCCUGCCUCAGCCUCCCAGAGUGCUAGGACUACAGUGUACACCACCACCCCUGGCUACAUUGAAUCCUUUUAAAACUCAGCCUAGUCCCCAGCUACACUCUGUGUGAAAUCACCAUUUGACUCGUUUUCCCCUGAUUUUUCUUGGGAUCUUGUCUUGUUCAACUACCCACUCCCCUUGUGGCCCAUAUUCUGAGAAACCAGCGGAGAGGACAAAGGUUCUGGGCUCAGGCCACACAGCCUCCUCCCUGCUCUCCCUGGCACCUGGGGCUUCAGUAAAGCAGUACGGCCUUUCCUACCGCGGUGGCCGCGCUGGGAGCCUGGCAGGGUGGCUGCCCCUUCCCCCCCGGCCCUGGGGUCCUGUCCCCAUCCCUGCAGAGUAGCGUGGGCUGGGCUCUCAGGCCUCCUUUCAGCCCCAGGGAGCCCCCCACGGCCUGGCCAGGGGGAGGUGGGUGCGCCCCUUGCCCUGACGUCCUCAGUGAGACCCCGUGGGGCCGCCUGCUGGAGGACGGGCUCGGCCUUGGCUCUCACCCCGCUGCCCUGAGCAGGUCUCGGCCUCUCCCUCCGUGAGUUUUCUCGCAGAUGAGGGAAGGCCCAGCGAGGGGACCCGGCCUGGCCCUACUUCCUCUGCUCCCCAGCGCAGGAGGGGCGCGAAGGGACAGGGGCUCCCUCCUCUCCUGUUGAGCAACGGAUUUCUCUUUCUCUUCUGGUUUCGGAGGUGCAGAGUGGGAGGCAGCGGGUGGGGAGAGGAAGCCGAGGCGGCCACUCAGCGCCUCUCCGAACCCCCGCCCCGCCCGCACUCUCUCCUGACGCAGAGGGUCCCCCGGGAUGGCCGCGUGGGAGGCAAGCCUGUCCAGCCCUCCAGAUGCCCCUCUGCAUCUCCACGGGAGCUGACGGAGAUCAUCGGGUCUCAUCUCCCCUGUUACCUUCACAGGAGGGAAACUGAGGCACAGGGCAGUACGACUUCGGGUCCUGCAGCAACUCGGCAGCACAGCACAGCAGGACCUUGGGCUCCUGACUCCGCUCAGCCCUGCUGGGGGGCAUCUGCUUGCCCUGCCCGCCCGAGGGUGGGAGGAGAGGGGCAGCUAUAAAAAUGCUCUCACGGCCUCUUCA